GGCUUUCGACAUUUCGAACAAGAAGAAGCCUGUUUGGAGGAUAAUCAAGUGUCCGAAGCAAGGUGGCAUUGUGGAGUGCGGGUAUUAUGUGAUGCGAUUCAUGCGUGAUAUAAUAUUGUCAAGCAACAGGACAAUCAUUGAAGUAGAUCAACCUCAACAUACUCACAGGACGAUUUAGAUGUCGUAAGAACGGAGUGGGCUGAAUUCGUUAACAAA